UGGGGAAUAUUGGACAAUGGGCGCAAGCCUGAUCCAGCCAUGCCGCGUGGAUGAAGAAGGCCCUAGGGUUGUAAAGUCCUUUCGACGGAGACGAUAAUGACGGUAUCCGUAGAAGAAGCCCCGGCUAAUUUCGUGCCAGCAGCCGCGGUAAUACGAAAGGGGCUAGCGUUGUUCGGAAUUACUGGGCGUAAAGCGCACGUAGGCGGUCGUGUAAGAUGGGGGUGAAAUCCCGGAGCUCAACUCCGGAACUGCCUUCAUGACUGCAUGGCUAGAGGAUGCGAGAGGUUGGCGGAAUUCCGAGUGUAGAGGUGAAAUUCGUAGAUAUUCGGAAGAACACCAGUGGCGAAGGCGGCCAACUGGCGCAUUUCUGACGCUGAGGUGCGAAAGCGUGGGGAGCAAACAGGAUUAGAUACCCCAGUAGUCCCUGAGCGGGCUGGCAAGGCGCAU
rnacentral:rRNA from 1 species